UCUCCUUGCUUUCACUCUUGGAGUGAAGCAGAUGAUCUGCUGCUGCAACAAGGUAUAACUUGCAAAAAAUCUUCAUUCCUGGAAGGCCAUAUAACCAUAUUACUUUGUAUAGAUGCUGCUACUUGUGUGGUAGACUUGUUUGAGGUUGCUAUAUGAUCCAAGUGCUUGAUUUUAACUAACAGUAAACAUGCUCUCAAUCAAUUGCUUGAUUUCAUAUUGCUGCACACAUAUUUUGAUUGUAGUAGUCUAAUUGUAUGUUUGAUUUGUAGUAGUCUAAUUGUAUGUUUGAUUUGUAGUACAUUUGGAUAUACCAGCUUUAACCUGUAUGAAUCUUCAUGUAAUAAUAAUAUUAAAUGGUGUGGAGUUGGAUGUCACUUGGUUCAUCAUCUAGAUGAGAACUAUGCACAAUGUAUUAAUAUUUGUCUGUUGUCCUGUACUGCCAUACCUGCAGUUUUUCCUGUAACUAGUUGAUUGUUCUGCUGCUCUAAUGUUUAAUUCUCACUCUGUGAUAGGUACUGCUGUGCUAGUGUUUUGUUCUGCUUGUUUAUGCUAGUUAUAACAGUAUAAUCAAGUCUUCUGUUGUUAUCUGUUUGCAAUAUCUUACAGUUCCAUCUUAGAUCUGAGUAUCAUUUAACUAAAGGUGUCCUUCUACUGUUAUUUUUUAGAUGGACGCCACCACUCCCAAGUACUCAAAGGCACGUUACGAAGAAAUUGUUAAGGAGGUCUCUUCCUACCUGAAGAAGGUCGGCUACAACCCUGAAAAGGUUCCCUUCGUCCCCAUCUCUGGGUUCGAGGGUGACAACAUGAUUGAGAGGUCCACCAACCUUGACUGGUACAAGGGCCCAACCCUGCUUGAGGCGCUUGACCAGAUCAACGAGCCCAAGAGGCCCUCAGACAAGCCCCUCCGUCUUCCCCUCCAGGACGUUUACAAGAUUGGUGGCAUUGGAACUGUGCCUGUUGGCCGUGUUGAGACUGGUGUCAUCAAGCCUGGUAUGGUUGUUACCUUUGGUCCCACUGGUCUGACAACUGAGGUCAAGUCUGUUGAGAUGCACCACGAGUCUCUCCUGGAGGCGCUUCCUGGUGACAACGUGGGCUUCAACGUCAAGAAUGUUGCCGUGAAGGAUCUGAAGCGUGGUUUUGUUGCAUCCAACUCCAAGGAUGACCCUGCCAAGGAGGCAGCCAACUUCACCUCCCAGGUCAUUAUCAUGAACCACCCUGGUCAGAUUGGCAACGGCUACGCCCCAGUGCUGGACUGCCACACCUCACACAUUGCUGUCAAGUUUGCUGAGCUGGUGACCAAGAUUGACAGGCGAUCUGGUAAGGAGAUAGAGGCCGCGCCCAAGUUCCUCAAGAACGGCGAUGCUGGCAUAGUGAAGAUGAUUCCCACCAAGCCCAUGGUUGUGGAGACCUUUGCCACUUACCCUCCUCUUGGUCGUUUUGCUGUCCGUGACAUGAGGCAAACUGUGGCUGUUGGUGUCAUCAAGGGUGUGGAGAAGAAGGACCCAACUGGCGCCAAGGUGACCAAGGCUGCCAUCAAGAAGAAAUGAGGCGUUUACCUGAAUCCGUCUAUGUCUGCUUUUUGAGAUCUCUAGUAGUUUAGUGCCUAUUAAGUUUUGCUACUGUUAGCGCCGUGUGAUAUGCGCCCUGUUGAUGUGUCAUUUGAGUACUGUCGUUAAUUUCGGCUUUUGACAAAACAUGGAAGCUUCUGAGACUACUCAUUUUUAUCCUCUGCUUUGGAAUGUUAGGCUGCUACUUUUAGUCAUAGCUGAUGUUUCUCUUUGAAGCCUUUGGUUUUUUGUCGCCUUUGGUGGUUUUUUGUCAUGAUAAUAGCAGGUUGUUGGCAUUCUCACAUCUGUUUGCAUUGAUCCCCAUCUAGGCCUUCCAAAAUAUGUUUGGCCAAUAGUGGCAUGACCAAAAUGUUAGGGACUUGGAUAGUAACUAGGAAAAUUUUGGCAAAAAUCGUAGGCUUUGAUUUAUUAAAAGAUCUAGCCAUGUAGUGCAUAAUGAGCUGAUUAAAAUGCUUACAAUCAAAUCAGAACUAAUGGGCAAAUAAAGGGUGCAAAAUAAUUAGCCUACACCGUUGCACAACGGAGGGAAAUAGAGUGCAAUGACGUUUUUGUUAGUUCGAAAAAGAUUAUCGUUGUUAGGGCUGGGGGCUCCAUGUGCGAUGUGAUUCAGUUAGGAUGCGUUUGGUUGAAGGUGUCGUAUGAAUGGGUUGGGACCGUUCAAUUUUUUUGGAAUUGAACCAUUCAAUUCAUGUGUUUGGCUGAAUAUAAGUGGUGAGCUAAUUAUUUAGGACGGGACCAUCAGUCAUGCUCACAUAGUCAUGCAUGCAAAGGGUGGCCAUUUGAUUCGACCGAAUUGAUUGGGUGGAACGGUUCAGCAUCUUCAUGGCAUAUUCUUUUUUUUGGCUCGAACCAUUCAUGUGCUUUAUAACCAAACAUGUCUAUUUUCUGAACGAUCCCAACCCAUUCAUGACCGCCCUUACAACCAAACGCACCCGAGUAGGAAAUAUGGAGCAGAGUAGCGCAGCACCAAGCCGGCGGUACAUCCUCACCUUGGUGCCAAAGUUUUGUGAAGCUUGUAAAGUGAAAAAGUGAUUUUUCUAGAAAUAAAUGAUUUUUAUUGAUUGGGCACUAUAUAUACAGAGAGCAGUUACAAAUUUGUGAGAGUAUUUCUAACCGCAAGCAGCGGUUGCUAAUGCGUGAGACAUAACAGUAACUCUCGGUUCCUUAAUUAGGACUUGAUAAUUAAUAAAUAAUCAAGUGCUCUAAUUUUAUUUCUAACACUCCUUCUUGGAUCACGCAUCUUCUAGAAGAAUCCAUCAUUCAGUGCUUCUUGUAUAUUUCAUCAUCUAAUGCUUCUUAUAUAAUCGUCAUCCUGCUUGAGAAUCAUUUCUGCAAUUUAAGAACCUUCCUAAAAAACUCUGUGGAAAAAAUAUGAGGAGUAAUAGAUAUACCAUUGAAAACUUCUUUAAAACUCUGUGGGAAAAAUAUAAGGAGAAAACGAUAUGAUAUAAUUUAUAUUGCCUCAUUAAAAAUCUUUUAUGAGAAAACUGAUGCAAAAACUCAUAAAAGAAAAGAGUACAAUAAUUAUUAUCUGAUGAUAACUAAAGGGUUAUAAUUCUAGGAGUUUUUCUUCCCCUGAAAUUUGCAAAUCUCGAAUACGUCUCACACCAAUCCCAUGAAUACAUUUCUGAAAUGUUGAAUUUGGUAAAGACUUUGUGAACAAAUCUGCUAAAUUGUCACAUGAUUUGGUUUGUAAAAUAUCAAUUUCUCCAUCUUUCUGUAAUGAAUGUGGAAAGAACAAUUUAGGAGAAAUAUGUUUUGUGAUAUUAUUUUUAAUAUAACCCAUUUGCAUUUGAGCAAUGCAAGCUGCAUUAUCUUCAUAAAUAAUAGUUGGUGAUCCUAAUGAACCAAUACCACACGAAGUUUGAAUGUGGUUAAUCAUCCUGCGAAGCCAUACACAUUCCUUUGAUGCUUCAAAUAAUGCAAUUAUUUCAGAAUGAUUAGUGGAAGUUGCUACGAGAGUCUGUUUUUGUGAUUUUCAUGAAAAAGCAGUUCCACCAUAUAAGAAUACGAAACCUGUCUGUGACCUAGCAUUGUGAGGAUCAGAUAAAUAGCCAGCGUCAGUAUAUCCUACCAUAGUCAUAUCUUGGUUUUUCUGAUAGAAUAAGCCAAGAUCUUUUGUGCCAUGUACAUAUCUAAAGAUAUUCUUUACUUCUGUCCAAUGACGUUUUGUUGGAGCAGCGCUAUGUCUAGCUCGUAAAUUUACCGCAAAUGCAAUAUCAGGUCUGGUGCAAUUUGCAAGGUACAUUAGCGCACCAAUAGCACUGAGAUACGGGAAUUUAGGUCCUAAUAUCUCUUCGUCAUCAUCCCGAGGUCUAAAAGGAUCUUUAUUCAUAUCAAGGGAUCUGACAACCAAGGGUGGUUUGGUUGGAUAUGAUUUAUCCAUAUUGAAUUUUUCCAAAACCUUUUGAAUAUAAGCAGGUUGAUAUACUAAAAUUUCCGAGGGAAGAUGCUCAAGCUGUAUGCCUAAGCAAAAUUUGGUCUUUCCAAAUCUUUCAUCUCAAAUUCCGUCAUUAAAUGAUUGCGUGCUUCUUUUAUAUCAUGUGUACUCCCAAUGAUAUUGAGAUCAUCAACGUACACUGAGAUGAUGCAAAAUCCAUUUGAGGAUUUCUUUAUAAAUACACAAGGGCAAUCAUCAUUAUUUGAGUAUCCUUUCUGAAUAAGAAACUCACUCAGUCGGUUAUACCACAUUCUACCCGACUGUUUUAAGCCAUAGAGUGACUUUCGUAAUUUUACACAAUAUGCGUUGCGAUUUGCUUUUGGAUUCGGCAUUUUAAGUCCUUCAGGAACUUCCAUAUAUAUGUCCGAUUUGAGUGACCCAUACAAGUAUGCUGUCACUACGUCCAUUAACUGCAUAGAUAAAUUCAUUUGUACUGCCAAAGAUAUUAAAUAUUGAAACGUUAUUCCACUCAUGACAGGAGAGUAUGUAUCAUCAUAAUCGAUGCCAGGUCUCUGCGUGAACCCUUGUGCUACAAGCCUCGCUUUGUAUCUCACCACCUCGUUGUUUUCAUUCCUUUUUCGAACAAAAACCCAUUUUGCUCCCACAGGGAAGACAUUCUGAGGAGUAGGUAUUACUGUGGAAAAUACCUCUCUUUUGUUGAGCGAGCGCAGUUCUGCCUCAAUUGCUUCCUUCCAUUUAGGCCAAUCAGGACGCUUGAGGCAAUCCCUGACGGUCUUUGGUUCUGGAUCCAGUUGAAGGGUUUCAGCAAUUUCAGAGGCAAAAUAUAUGUCGACAAUUGUAGUCUCUCUGUUGUAUGAUUCUCCUGUUUCUAUAUAGUUUAUGGAAAUUUCUUUUAUACCUUCAGACUCUAUGUGAUUUCCCACAACAAUAGAGUCAUGGUGUUCCGAUGUCCCAGCUACUAUAUUUGUAUGCGCAUUUAUGCUGGGUUCUAGAUGUUGAUCAUCUGAUUGGUGUCCUUCAACUUGAGGUUGAAUUGCAUUUACUGGUAGAGGAUUUGAUUUCCUCUGUUUCCGCGGAGGCUUCUGAGAAGCUAUAUUCCGGCUAACCAGAUUUCUCCUCUUACUCUCAUUUGGGGUUUGAGUGGUUUUACUUGGUACCUCCACUCGUUCUGGUGCAUUAACAGCGGGGAUAUGUGAUUUAGUGACACCUUUAUGGUCAGUAAAUGCAUCUGGCAGAUUAUUUGCAAUAUGUUGCAAAUCUAUAAUCCUCCGAACUUCAGUUUCAGAUUUUUUAGUACGUGGAUCUAAGGACUGGAUGCCUGUUACAUUCCAAUCUAUUUUCUGACAUUCUUUGUGGUUUGAUUCUCCCCCUAAUGCCGGGAAAUGGUCCUCAUCAAAAAUAGAAUCAGCGUAUCGAGCAGUAAACAGGUCCCUUGUAAGAGGUUCAAGAUAUUUUAUAAUUGACGGAGAAUUAUAACCCACAUAGAUCCCAAGUUUUCUGUGGGGGCCCAUGGUUGUACGUUGGGGUGGUGAUAUCGGUACGUAUACUGCGCAACCGAAUUUUCGCAGAUGGGAAAUACUUGGCUGAGUGCCACGAACUAGUUGCAGCGGGGAGGUUGUGUGGUAUGCAGUUGGUCUGAUUUGUAUCAGAUCUACGACGUGUAAUACCGCAUGUGCCCAACAAGAUGUUGGCAAAUUACAAUUAUAUAAUAAUGGUCGAGCAAUUAAUUUUACUCUUUUGAUGAGAGAUUCAAUCCAUUUUGAGUAUGAACAUAAGGCACAUAAUGUUCUAAAUUAAUGCCCAUAGCCAUGCAAUAGUCAUUAAAUGCGCGUGAAGAAAAUUCAGCAGCAUUAUCCAUUCGAAUUGUUUUUAUCUUAUUUUCGGGAUGGUUUGCUCUUAAUUUGAUAAUCUGAGCAAUUAACUUGGCAAAGGCAUGAUUACGUGUGGAUAAUAGACAUACGUGUGACCAUCUAGUAGAUGCAUCUAUGAGUACCAUGAAAUACCUAAAGGGUCCUGAUAGUGGUUGAAUUGGACCACAUAUAUCUCCUUGAAUGCGUUCAAGGAAAUUUAAUGACUCAUUUUUUACUUUAAGAUAAGAUGGUUUUAUAAUUAAUUUCCCACUUGCACAUGCGGUGCACACAAAAUCUGAUGAUUUGGGGAAUCUUUUAGUUGGAAGGCUGUGACCAAUAGAAUUGUCAAUAUUUUUUCUUAUCAUCCCUAUGCCAGGAUGACCUAGGCGAUCAUGCCAAGUCUUGAAUUUAUCAAGGUCUUGAAAAAUUAUUUUGUACGCAACAUGUGGUACGGGUUUUAUAUAACUAUAAUAUAAUCCAGAUGAAAGUGAGGGGAAUUUCUCAAGAAUUUGUUUCUCAGACCCAUUGCUCUUUGUUAAAAGCAAAUAUUCAAUAUUAUUUUCAGAGAUAGUUUCCAUAUGGAAAUUAUUUGAUUGAAUGUCUUUGAAACUUAGAAGGGUGCGAGUAGAUUCAGGAUACAAGAGUGCAUCCUCAAUUACAAUGGUAGUACCCAUAGGCAGAACGAGUGUGGCUUGUCCUGAACCAAUAAUUGAUGCAUCGCGACAGGCAAUGGUCAUAAUAUUCCCUUGUCUCUUAGUUAGAGUUUGGAAAUAUUUUAUUUCCCUUAAUAUUGUGUUAGUGGUACAACUGUCCACCAAACAUAGUUCUUCUUCCAUUGGAUUAUCUUCCCGUAAAAUCUAUAUAGAGUAAGAGAAUAUUUUAGGAUGAUUUUUAUUCAUUACUCACAUAUAAAUACAUACAAAGUAUUCAUAUUACAGUUACACAUAUAAAUAUGACAUUAUGUCUGAAUUACAUAAGAUGAUUGGUCCGUAGGACUUUAUUCUACUUAGAGUUAUACAAAUUUUAACUUCCAUUAUUACAAUAAAAUAGCUGAUAACAUCAAAUGAGUGAUGUGGAGAUUAUAUGAGAUCUACGUAUGCGUCUUGGGUGUAUUCCACCAUCAUGUUGUCGACAUCAAGAAGAUCUUCAUCCUUCUUCCUUGUUUCCUUAGGAGCGCUUUGAGAAGUGCUAGCUUCAAGGUUCUCUUCUUGUUGUAAAGCGUUGAAGUGAGCUUCUGCUUUUCCAUGAACUUGUUUGCCUUUCCUAGUGGAUUUGAGAUAUAAAUCCGCUAGAUGCUUAGGAGUUUGACAUUUGCUAGUACGAUGGUUAGUACAUCCACACCUUUGACAAAUCUCGGAUUUGGUGUUUCGGUCAUCUUUCUUAAAAUGACCUUUACCUUUAGAUUGACCAAAUGUUUUCUGCUUGUUGUUCCUUUUCCACUUUCCAUUGAAUUUCUUGAAAUUCUUUUUAUUCCCCCAUACUUUUUAGUAGACUGAGUGUUAGCAUGUGCUUCAGGGAGUGGCAUGGAGCCCGUUGGGCGUGUCUGAUGAUUCUUCAUGAGAAGUUCAUCAUGUUUCUCAGCCUGAAGUAAAGUGUAUAUGAGCUCAGAAUACUUUUUGUAUUUUUGUUGACGGUACUGCUGUUGUAGUACUCUCAUCGAGGGGUGGAAAGUGCACAAGGUCUUCUCAAUGAGAUCUUCUUCUGAAAUUGCUUGGUUGCAAAAUCUUAGUUUAGAAUUAACCUUGUGAACUGCAGAGUUGUAUGCUGCCACGGAUUUGAAAUCUUGGAACCUUAUGAGGGACCAUUCUCUUUGGGCUUCUGGUAGCAUAACUGCUCUUUGUUGGUCAUAUCUCUCCUUGAGAGAGUUCCAUAAAGCAAGUGGAUCCUCCUCCAUUAAAUAUUCUGUUUUUAAAUCAGGAUGGAGGUGAUGCCUUAUAAAACUUAAUGCUCCAUAUUUGACUGCUUGCGGUAUUUCCGCAGCGCCUUCAACAGGUGUGAUAAUUGUGGAACCAAGUUUACGACAUUCUAAUGCUAUCUUGGUAUCCAUAGCCCAUGAUAAAUAAUUACUACCAUCUAGCUCAAGUUCAUGAAAUUCUCUAUUCAUGACGCCAGCCAUUUUCCUGCAUGUUGUGAUCAUGCAUAAAUUAGUUUUACUAUGAGAGUAAAAUUUAAGUAACAACAAAUGCUUCAAAAGAACAAAGUUCUGAAGUAUAGCUGAUGCUUUAUACUUAUAUGUGUAGACCUCAUUUUAUGUAAAUGACACUUUGAAGAUAGUCACCGUUGUGGUGUAGAUCUCGCAGCAAUGGAGAACAUAAUCUGGUUUUGACCAGUAGAUGUUCAUAUAUCCAUUACCUUGUGCCAUACUAAAUUUUACAAAAACACUUUGAAGGUAGUCAUCUGUCAAAUGACUAGAUGUAGACCUCACAGUAAGAGUGGAUAGUCUGCAAUUUGAUGCAGUAGAUCACACAGUUACCUUGUGUUUUGCAAGUAUAAUAUUCGAGGUAAUCACAUCAAUUUGCAUAUUUGGAAGAGCACUCGAAGAUAAUCAUUUCGCCAGAACAAAAGAGGCAAAACGUAGAUCUUUCAGCAAUGAGGAUAAUCUGCAAAGUGCAGUAGAUGCCUCAUCUACCCUGUGAUCCCGAAAUAUGAAUUUGUAAAUAAAAAUUGUUGUACUUAUGAACUACAUAUUGUAAAAGGAAAUGCUGAAGCAAUCAUGUAGAAUAUGUACACGUAGUCUGAGACUUUACUUAGAUAAUACAUGGUCUAGAUAUCCAAACUUACAAUACAGUACAGACUGAAUAUAAUAAACAAAGGUUCUUAGUACAAUAAAAUAGCACUCUCAAAUAAACAGAACCGGCUGCUAUGCAAUAUACAAAUACUAUGGCUAUUCUCUGUUGAAAACGCCACAGCACCAGCAGCCAUUUAUUGGAGUUAUUGGCCUGUAGGCCUGAUUAGGUGAGGAGCGGGGAGAGUUGGCCUGGCCCAUGCACCGACAGAGAGAGGAUAAGGAGAGCAGGAUCGCUAGUUUCCCUACGUCUCCGCCACUUUUCGUACCUGGACUCAGCACCGCUGCUCGUCAGCUCUCCCUGCCCCAUCUCGCCGUCUUCAAUGGAAGCGAGUUGGGCCCCGCUUCGCAGCACGGCCUGCUCCGCUGCUGCUCGCCCCAGGGGCGCCGGUGAGGCCAAGGGCAUCCAGCGACCACGCGCCACGAAGGGCUGCAUGGUUUUGCGCCAUGGCCGCGGCGAAUUGGCGCAGGAUCCGGCGGGCUUUCGGCGGAGGCGUCGGAGGAAGAGGCGGUGCCGGAGGAGGAGGUGGUGUCGCCGGUGAUGAACGUGGUGGCGUCGACGACGAGCCCUGGUCCUCUAUCUCCUCUUCUUCAACCUUGAUCUUGAUGUUCAAGUCGGGGAUGGAAGGGUAGCCGCCGGUUCCCGCUGCCGCCGGCGUCGGGGAUGGGAGAUCCGGGACGGGGCCGUAUCCAGGAGGGAUGAAGUGCUCCGGCAGUUCGUCUGAUGGCGUCGGAGACGGCUUCCGCGGUGGUGCGCCCGUACGCGCUGGGCAUGAUUCGAACCCGUACGGGGGCAGAGGCGGUGGCGCGAGUUCGCAAGGGAACAUCUCUUCUUCUCCGAGGAAUGGCGCCGAUGGACCUCCAAGGAGCCAAUCCAUCGGAGGGAUGGUGAAGACAGAUGGCGGCGGAGUCAUUGGUACGAUGUAGUCGUCGGCGACGGCCGGAGCCGGAGCCGAAGGCCCAGCAUGGUUUGCAGUGGUGGUCGGAGCCGAGGGUCUAGCCUGGUGCACCAUUGGUGCUCGCCCACGGAGCGGGCGGUUGCCUUGGCGUGCGUACCCACGACGGCGGUUCUGGCGGUGGUUCCAGGCGAAAAAGCGGCGGCGAGGGCCACUCCUUGCGCCAAGUCCCUGACGGCGACGGCGACUUGCAGCACGGUGGCGAUGGGUGCGUGGACAGCGACGGUUCUCUCUCUGGAGGAAGCGUGCAAUGGCGAAAGCAAUCGACGACAGGUCCCUCCCUGCCAUUCUUACCUUUCCUGUGAUGGCUCUCUGUCGCUCUCGGCAGAGCGAGUACUGAUAACGUAUAAAGUGAAAAAGUGAUUUUUCCAGAAGUAAAUGAUUCUCAUUGAUUGGGCACUAUAUAUACAGUUACAAAUUUGUGAGAGUAUUUCUAACCGCAAGCAGCGGUUGCUAAUGCGUGAGACAUAACAGUAACUGCACUAAGCAGUUGCUAACAUGAGAGAGGAAGUACAACUGCUUCUAGUAGUUAGAGAAUACAUAGUCGGUUCCUUAAUUAGGACUUGAUAAUUAGUAAAUAAUCAAGUGCUCUAAUUUUAUUCCUAACAAAGCUGAUGUAUAGUACUCCCUCUGUAAUAUUCGGGAAAAAAUUAAAAUAAAUAGUAAGCAUUUUAAUCUAAAGAAAUAUAAAGAAAUAUAAGAGCUUUUAGAUUACUAUGUAGAGAUUCUAUUAUGGCCCACAUAUGGAUGUAUAUAGAUGUAUUUUAGAGUGUAGAUUCACUCAUUUUGCUUCAAAUGUGGUCUAUAAUGAAAUCUCUCCAAAGACUAAAUGGAGGGAGUUCAAGUGAUCUAUACACUCUUAUAUUUCUUUACUGAGGGAAUACUGUAUAAGACCGUUCGAAAGUGUUAUGUCGAGUUUAGCAAUUCGGGUUAAACAUUUUUUUCUGUUUUGCUUAGUCCGGUGAAAUUUCUAGUCUUUGUCUUUAGGUCACUGAAUAGACAUGGUGUAUCUUGUAUACAUCAAAGUUAAGCCCAAGCCCGCAGAAUAGCUUUUCGAAAAUUGUCUGCACCGAGCAGGUUCAUCUAACUGAAUUGAAAAGGUUAAAAGUUACAAAAAAGUUUUCUUCUUGCAUCUGACGUAGUACCAUUCUAAGUUAGCCACAAGCGCCAGGAGGCGGCAGUACAAGCCAACUUGGUCGAAAAAUUUAAACAGGUCGAGAGCAUUCCAAAGUUGCUUGACCGGAGUAUCAUCGUCUAUUGGCAUGUGCCUGCUACGAACACCUAUAGCUCAUCUUCAGGCCUCACCUCACCUGCUUUCUCAGCUUCGUUCAACACAAAGGUCUUGAGAGACUCCACGUCCCUAGGCCCUGCAAUGCCAUUGAGUAGUUGGAUUAGGCAUUGAGCACUUACUAGACGAAUAUUUUCAAAACAAAGAAUCAUACAUAAUGGGAAAAUAGAAGCACAUCAGAAGGCAACAAACUGCGUGUACAAAGAAAAUGCAGCAAAAAGUGUAUUGCCAUACUGCAUAUGAUCUUUUGAGCGGUGAUGCCGAAUGACAGUACAAGAAAAUUGUAAGUGUUACAUUAAAUCAACUUCAGGGACAUGAUACGGUCCAGGAUUAUGAAUUGAUGGUUGAAAGUGGAGACUCGCUAUAGAAUAGCAUUUUCAUGAACAAAGUACCACAACAAAUCCAACAGGUGGAGCAACAUGAUAACAUAUCCAUCUAAUAAAAUGUUGAAAAAGCAUGCAUUCAUGAUCAAUAAAAGCAAAAAAUAAAAUAAAAUGAUAUGUGAACAAAGUUGUACACAAAGUUUUCCUCCCUCAUGUUGUUUAUUUAGUUAUGAAAUAUCGUCACCUCUGCUGUUAAGAACUAGCUGAUACUCCCUCCGAUUACAAAUAUAAGAUGUUUUGGAUAUUUCAAUAUGGACCACAUACGGACUGAAAUGAGUGUAACAAACACACUAAAACGUGUCUAUAUACAUCCGACUCAGACAAAAGUUAGAACAUCUUAUAUUUGUGAAUGGAGGAGUAUAUCAGUAACAUCCAAGUCAUGGCUGGUCCAAAGAAGAAAUUCUAAAUUUUCCGCAUUAGCGGAUCCUGCUAUAUACAAAAAUCGCGCCUAAAAUGUAAUCUUUUCCAACCUUUUGGUUCAAGUUCAGAGGUUUUAAUCUUUUAAGAGUCAUGCCCUACUCUCACAAUACAAGUCAACAAUGUGGUUUUGGUUUCUAAAAUGUAUCGCCAUUCCAAGAGUAUCGAACCAGAUGCAAUAGAUUCCAACAUGGUUUUCAUGGUAGUGGUAUCUAGUUUAUGUUGUCCUUGUCAAACAGAAGUAAGAUGUGAGAGGGAUUACCUUUAUAUUUUGCAACUUCUUCGCCAUCAUAGAACACCUUGAAUGUUGGGUAUGAAUGAAUGUCCACCUUUGAGCAGACUGGUUUGCUUGCACCGCAAUCAACUUUUCCGAUCUCAAUUUCAUCCGUACCUUCAAUAACCUUCCCGAGGUCCUCCCAAAGAGUUCCUAGGCUCUUGCUGUGUAAAUGUAGAAGGCAUCCUUGUUUAGCAGCAAGCGGUCAAAACUCGCAUUGUAGUUGAUACAUCCAUGUCACCGCUACGGCAUGUAGAGCUUACCAGUGCUUACACCAAGGGACGCAGAAUUGCACAAACCACACUGUGUCCUUCUCCUUUAUCUAGAAACAAGAGAAAAAUCCAAACUGGCUUAAGCAACGGCAGUGCACAAGCAUUGCAGGGAAGUAACUCAAGAACCAAAACAGGAGUACAGAUGGCGCGCCGCAUCUAAACACCGAACCUUCCGUGAUUGGAAAAAUUAAUACACCAAGAAUAAUGAUCUAUCGGUUUAUUAUUAGGAAAUCAUGCUGGAAUCAGUAGCAAAUCUGGGAAACGGCUACAUGUCAGUAACUAUAAACACACCGCCUGCUACACUGCAUCCCAGCGUAGCCAAGUGAUAUGUUGAAAAAUCAGCUGUUCUUGGGUCCGCGGCGUGCCCUAGAGUACUACUACUAUUACAUCUCGAGGGGGAGGUGGAAGAGGCGGGAGACACGAGAAGGGGAAAGCAGUCGGUACCUUGUCGGAGAAGGUCUCUUCGGUGAGGGUGAUGACCUCGGCGCCGGAUCGCGCGGCCAGGGCGGCGAGUAACGUGACGGCCACCAGCAGGAGGUGGAUAGGGAGGCGGGAGCGGCGCCGAAGAGCCGGAUCCAUGGCUCGAUCGGAGGACGGCCACGGCGACGACGGGGAGACAAGGAGAAGGCGGAUACGCAAGCCGGGGUGGGUCGAUGUAGUAUUUCCCUGGGCCGGGCCGGGCCGGGUCGGGCUAGGAUAGACGAUGACACGGGUUUAAGCAUAGCUCUGACCUAUAAAAAAAAGCAUGUGGAACCUGGGCCUCCGACCGGACGUGGGCCACUGUCGUCGCCUUCUUGCUUUGCCAGAGGCCGUCAGCCACAGUGCUCGCCUGCCUCGGCGUUCACAUUAUUCAUCGGCUUUAUUUGCUCGGAGAAAAAAGCGUCUACUGUUGUCAUAUCAUAAAUAUGUUCCUAAAAAAUUUAUAUCAUAAAGAUCACAUUACAAGUCACGUUAAUGACUAGCUAGCUUUUGCACAAAUAAACACCCGUAAAAGAAAAUAAUUUACAAUCAACACUGAAGAAUCCCCUGAGUUUGGCACCAAUAUCUUUCACCCGCCUCUGGCACUUCCUGAGCAGCCACCAAAUGAAAAAGAAAAUGUCGGUUCCAUUCCGUUUCCUUCAAACUCUACACCUUUAUCUCUACAUAAUGUUAUUGUUUCACCUAACCUUAUCAAAAAUCUAGUCUCUCUCUAUUCCUUUACUCGUGACAAUCAUGUAACUGUGAAAUUUGAUGGAGUUGGUUUCUCUGUUAAGGAUGCAUGUACUCGGAUGAUUCUGCACCGAUGUGAUAGUCCUGCCAAUCUCUACUCCGUCCAGCCAUCAUCAUCUUCCACUACUGGACCGGUGGCCCUCUCUGCCGAGGUUGACCUUUGGCACACACGCCUUGGUCAUCCGGGCUCCGCCGCACUUCGCACAAUCAUGCAAGGAUUUUCUUUCUUUUUGUGAUAAAACAGACAACCAUACUUGUCAUGCAUGUCGUCUCAGCAAGCAUGUUCGUCUUCUAUUUAGUUCGUUUUCCACAUUUGCAUAUUUUCCGUUUCAGUCAAUUCAUACUAAUGUAUGGACCUCACCUAUUCCAAGUAAUUCCAGUUAUAUUUAUUAUUUUGUGAUAUUGGAUGAUUAUUCCUAUUUUGUGUGGACCUUUCCUCUCCGUCAAAAAUCUGAUGUUCCAUCUACACUCACCAUAUUUUUUCUUACGUGUCUACACAGUUCGGGAGGUCCGUUCAUGCUUUGCAAACUGACAAUGGAAAGGAGUUUGACGACCUUAGCAUCCACACUCUUCUUGCAUCCCAUGGCAUCAUCUUUCGGCUCACGUGUCCUUACACCUCGUCACAAAACAGUCGCGCCGAAUGUAUGCUCCGCACCCUUAAUGGUUGUGUACGCACUCUCCUGUUUCAUGCUCAUGCUCCACCUCGCUUUUGGCCCGAUGCACUCGCCACAACAACCCUUCUCAUUAAUAUCGAGCCUUGCCGUGUUCGAUGGACCUAUACACCACACCAGCUUCUCUUCGGCUGGCCGCCAUAUUAUGAUGAUCUUCGGUUGUUUGUGCUACGCUAGCAUCACAACCACCACUCCACAUAAGCUCGCACCGUAGUCCCUGCCAACAUUUUCUCGGCUACCCACCAAGCAAGAGUGGCGCCGCCGUCAUCUUCGGUGGCACCUCGCCUCGCCACUGGCCGUUCCCAAGCUGGCCCUGACGCCCCAUGCCGUCGUGGCCCGCAUGUCGUGGCUGCUUCACCGGCUACUCUAGCCACUUCGCCGGUCCCCUUGACACCGGCCACUCCAACUGCUUCUUCGGUCGGUCACGCCUCGACGCUGGCCACGCCGGCUAGUACUCCGACCGCGGCAUGCCGGCUGCUUCUCCGGUUGCCUCGACGUCGGCCAUGCUAGAUGCUUCUCCCACCGCCUUGGCAUUGGCUACUCUAGCCGCCUCGACGUCGAUUGCUUCUCCGACUGCCUCCACGCCGGCCUCACCGACCGCUUCGAUGCCGGUCUCCUCAGCUAUUGCGGCUGCCUCACUGACUUCCGCGGCUGCUUCAUUGGCCUCCUCGACCGCCUCACUGGCCAAGCUCGGCCACCACGGCUGCGAGCGGGUCGCAUCCACCACCGACGGGUCCCGUUACUCGUCUCAUGCGGGUGUGUGCCGUCCGAGCUCCCGCUACUCCAUCGAUGAGUACGUGUGUGCGGCCUCCACCUCUGCAGCCUCACCGUUGCCCACCUCCGCUCGGGUGGCUCUCCGGGAUCCGCAGUGGCAUGCGGCCAUGCUGGAGGAGUUCGACGCCCUACAGCGCAACCGGACAUGGCAGCUUGUUCCCCGUCCACGCGGUGCCAAUGCCAUCUCUGGCAAGUGGGUGUUCAAGCACAAACUUUGCCCUGAUGGUACAUUCGAGCGCUACAAAGCGCGUUGUGUGGUGCGAGGCUUUUGCUAGUGAUCCGGCGUCAACUUCACGGACACCUUUACCCUGGUUGUCAAACCGGGCAUGAUUCGUACCACCUGCACCUCGCGAUGUCUCAGGCGUGGCCGGUGGACCAGAUGGAUGUCUCCUACGCCUUUCUCCAUGGUCAUCUCGAUGAACAAGUGUAUUGCCAGUAGCCCGCUAGUUUUGUCGAUGACACAUAUCUGGAUCAUGUGUGCCUGCUUUCUCGCUCGUUAUAUGGGCCCAAGCAGGCACUACGCGCCUGGUACCAGCGCAUCAUCGUGUUUCUUUAUUAGCUCGUCUUUCGCUCCACUCGCUCCUCCGCCUUAAUGUUUGUCUAUCAACAGGGCCAUGAGACUGCCUAUGUCCUCCUCUAUGUCGAUGACAUCAUCUUGACGUCGUGCACUACUGAUCUUCUUCGACGGCUCACUGAUCGACUUCGCGCUGAGUUCGCCAUCAAGGACUUAGGCCUGCUACACUACUUCCUCAGCAUCGAGGUGGUACGGCGGGUGAAUGACUUCUUUCUUCACCAGAGUUGCUUGACCGCACUGGGAUGCUUAAUUACAAACCCGCAACCACCCCCGUCGACAUGAAGGCCAACCUCUCCGCCACCGAUGGUUUGCCGGCCCUGGAUGCCCCCUUCUACCGCUCAAUUGUUGGUGCUUUGCAAUACUUGACACUCACUCGCCCGGAGUUGCAGUACGCGGUGCAGCAGGUGUGCCUUCAUAUCCAUUCACCUUGUGAUGCUCAUUGGACCGUGGUGAAACAGAUUCUCUGUUACAUUUGCGGCACUAUGGAUCUUGGCCUCUCGCUCCAUGCUUCAGCGGCUAUGGACAUCGUGGCAUACUCUGAUGUAGACUGGGCUGGCUGCCCGGACACAUGGCAUUCCACCUUCGGUUACUGUGUCUACCUUGGACCAUCACUUAUCUCCUGGUCAUCCAAGCAGCAGCCCACAAUUCCUCGGCCUAGUGCUCAGGUUGAGUAUCGCACAGUGGCUAACAUCGUUGCUGAAUGCUCUUGGCUUCGGCAGCUUCUCUUCGAGCGCUCUUGUCCUAUUAACAAGGCCACUGUGGUGUAUCGUGACAACAUAUCCGCCUGAUACGUCUAUUUUGCAUCAUGUUUUCUUACUGUUAUUUAUAAUGUUUUUAUCCAUAAUAAUGCUUUUUGGAGUAAUUCUAAUGCCUUUUCUCUCAUAAUUUGCAAGGAACACACCAAGAGGGAGAAUUCCGGCAGCUGGAAACCUGGACCUGGAAAAGCUACGUCGGACCACCUAUUCUGCACAACUCCAAAUGAGUUGAAACUUUACAGAGAUUUUUUAUGGAUUAUUUGAGAAAUACUAGAGCCAAUAAACACCAGAGGGGGCCACCAGGUGGCCACAACCCACCUGGGCACGCUAGGCCCCCCAGGCGCGCCCUGGUGGGUUGUGGCCUCCUCGGCCCACCUCUGGUGCCCACCUUUUGCUAUAUAAGUCAUUUUGACCUAGAAAAAAAAAGAGAAGGACUUUCGGGACGACGCGCCGCCGCCUCAAGGUGGAACUUAGGCAGGAGCACUUUUGCCCUCCGGCGGAGCGAUUCCGCCGGGGGAACUUCCCUCCCAGAGGGGGAAAUCAUCGUCAUCAUCAUC
rnacentral:lncRNA from 1 species